GGGGGGUAUUCCAGAAAGCUUGGUUAACUUACCAUUUGAUAAACUAUAACCUCUGGGUUGAUUUACCCCAAACAGGCAUACCAUGAGUAUGUCGGUUCCAAAACACCUGAGAAGAGUUAGCUUAAUCAACCUCUGACUGGUUACCCAGAGUUAAUGCGCGUGCACGGUGCAUGUAUAAAGACAUUUUCAAUGGAUCGCCGAUUUCACGAGUCACCAUGGAAACUCAAAGCGAAAAAAAGAGAGCCGCGUAUUUCACAGAGGCGGAGUUGGAAGUUUUAAUGCAUGCUUAUGAGGAGUUUAAGCCAAUAAUAUUAAAAAGAAGCAAUACAGCUGCAUCGGCUAAAGCAAGAGAGUUGGCUUGGCAAAAAAUAACGGACAGAGUAAAUGCGUGAGUGUAUUAAAUUACAAAUUUGGUAUUGGCUCCCGUUUUAUUGAAAUGCAAAAUAAUGAAGUAUGACUUAUACAUACUUUUGAAUAUGUUAAAUCACUAUGAAAGCAUUUACUUUUCCUGCCAUUUUAUUUCUUUAGCUUGAAAUAAUAAUGUAUAUUUCUUAUUUAAUAAGGUGUAAUCCUUCUGGAGCCACAAGAACUUUAAGCCAAGUCAAAAUGAAACACAAAAACAUUCUGCAAAAAGCUAACAGAAAAAAGACUGAAGCCCGUCUAACUGGCGGGGGGCCACCACCACCUCCCCUCACCCAUCUGAGGAGCUGGCUCUGUCCCUUAAUAAAGGGCGACCAGUGGUUGCUGGCAUUCCAGGGGGCAGUUCAUCACACAUACUAUGCACCACAAGUGAUGGUGAAAAAAGGGUGAAAUAUACUGAUGGACGGAUUGUAUUAUUGGACUCUCCAGAAAGAACACAGUCUGUCACAGUUGAUGAAGAUGAUGAUGACGAUGAAGAGACCACAUCUGCUGUGACAGAAGUGGACAAUGCUGGUAGAUCCACUGAGUACAUACCUAGGGAUUUGCCCACAGAUGAGGGUCCUUCAGCCUCAGCACACAAUCUAAGCAGGUUGCCAGCAAAGGAGCUGUAUAAGGUCCAUCUUCAAAAACAAAUAAGAAAAAGUGACAUGGAGAUGGACCUUAUACAGCUUCAAAUGGAAGAGAAAAGGCUCCUCAUUAAAAAAGCAGCACUUGAAAUAGAAUUACUUGAGAAUCGCCUUAAGGAAAUGAAGAAAUAAACUGCCUGGCAGACCAGUGCAAAAAAAACUAAUAAAAGUAAUUUUGACAAA